rnacentral:rRNA from 1 species
UACGUAGGGUGCAAGCGUUAAUCGGAAUUACUGGGCGUAAAGCGUGCGCAGGCGGUUCGUUGUGUCGGCGGUGAAAGCCCCGGGCUUAACCUGGGAAUGGCCGUUGAAACUGGCGAACUGGAGUGUGGCAGAGGGGGGUGGAAUUCCGCGUGUAGCAGUGAAAUGCGUAGAGAUGCGGAGGAACACCGAUGGCGAAGGCAGCCCCCUGGGGCUAACACUGACGCUCAGGCACGAAGAGCGUGGGGAGCAAACAGG